UUAAAUCUAUUUUUAUUUUUAUUUUUUUAUUUUGCUUCCUCUUUGUUUUAAAAAAAAAUCAGAGAAUACUCCUCCACCCCCUUUCUCUAUUCGGCUAGGGUUUCAACACCCAUCAUCGCCAUCAUCGUCGUGGCUCUUUGAGGCCACCGUGGUUCCCACCGUAUACGGUAGUCGAGGGCCACGUCAACUUGGGUUAUUUAACCCCUUUUGUUCAAAACGAGCCCGACGGUGAGGGUCUUCUAGACCGAGGAAGAUCCGAAAGAAGGAACUCCCUCCCCGCGACCUCUUCAAGCCGAAUUCGACGACGGAGGAGCAGUCUCCGACGACGAGGCUACUUGGGUUCGGUAAACCCCUUCUUUUCUUUGAUUUAUGCCCCCUUUUCAUCAAAAAGUUUGUAAAAAGAAAAGAAAAAAAGAAAACAAACAAAAAAAAAACGAAAAGAAAAGUAGAGAAAUAAAUUGAAGUCCACCUUUUCAAAGUUCUAUUCUGCUUUUUUAUUGCUUAAUCUGCGUAAAAAAAUACAAAGGGAACGAAAAUGGCUUUUAUAGCCGAAUACAUGCCCAUUCUCUUUUUCUUCUUUGUCUGUUUCUUCAUUGUUUUUCUUUUGGUUGUUUUCUACCGUUUGUCCUUUUGUUGGUUGUCUUUCUUUUGCUUGCUUGUUGGUUUUGUUUUGCAGGGUACAUGAGCGAUCAGGGCGCGUGCGAGUAGGCGUGGUGGCGUGAGGGGACGGUGUCGUACGAGGUGGCCAAUGGUGAGGCGCGGCGGCUGCAGAAGGGAUUAGCCCUAGGGUUACCUGUUGUUUUCUUUGUAACGGGCUAGGGUUAUAAUUGGGCUUGGGGUGGUUUGGGUUUUAAUGGUUUUUAAAAUGUUGGGCCACUCAUAUAAAAAAAAUGGACUUUUUAAUUGUUUAUUAUUUGGGUUUGUUGACCUGGGCUAAAAAUUGGCUACUACAGUGGUCGUUAAUAUUGAAAAAAAAAAGAAAAAUUAAAUUUGCUUAAGUCUUCUUCAUGGUUUUUUCCUUUUAAAUUGUUUUAUUUAUAAAAUUAUUACUUUAAUAAGUAAAUAUGAGAAAGUUUUAUAUUGAUUUAUUUGUAAUUUAUUUAUAAUUUUGUAUGUAUUUUUAUAAAAUCUUAUGUGUUUUAUCGAAAAAUAAACUUUUAAAUUUCUUUUUAUUUUUAAAGUUUUUUUAAAAUUUUUUAUGAAUCAAGACUAAAUUGAUAGAAUGUUUAAAGUUGAGGGCUGAAUUUAUUGAUUUUUUUUAAAUAGGACCAAAUUGAUAGAAUCUAUAAAUAUUGGAAGGCUAAAUUUUUUAUUAUGCUAAUAAAAAUGGUCACACCAAUGUUUUAUUAGUGAUUUAACGAAAGAAUGACCAAAAUGUUAAAUUUUGAUAAUGUAGGUAACUAAAAUAAAAAUAAUCUUGAGUAACUAAAACAGAAACACA
rnacentral:lncRNA from 1 species